AUGUUAAUAUCUAGCUUUUCUUUUUAUUUGAUAGGAUUUCUUAAGGAAAUAAGCUGGUGGCGUCAGAUUUCUGUCUGUUUUCUGACCGUACCAUUGAACUCCGGGACAUCUUUGAUACAGUGUGAAGAGUCUCAAAGACAGGAUACUGGGAGACUUUCAAUAGAACUGACAAGUCUGAAAAUUGGAAAGGUUUUCCUAAAAGCUCAUGGAAACAGAUAUUUGGACAUCUUUAACCAGUUUCAAGCGCAAACGUACUGCCCAGAAAAGAUAGGGGCAAAUUGUACCAUGGAUGAGAUCUGGUUUAUUGGCUGCCAAAUGAGUAACACUGGAUUACAAGAAGAAAUACUUUGUACCUACUGUAUUCCAGUGGGAUGACUCUCAUCUCUUUCACUAAGGGUCAUCUUUAGCUGAGUUACUUUCUGAGCAAUCUGGGUAGAGUCGUGACCACACUGAGGUCAUUAGAAAAGUUAAAUGUUCAUGUUGUUGUACUGUAUAUUGUUCCAUGUAGUACAUGUAUUAUCAAUAGUUAUAUAUCAAUUCAUUCUGUGUUAUUUAUUUUUUUUACUUUUAAUGGGAGGAGAACAGAAAGAAUUUUAGCAUUAAUCAGAUAGCUGAAUAUUAUAUCAGUUUUCAUUCACAUGCAAAGUAAAUAUUCAUUACUAUCUCUGGCAUGUGUAGCUCACUGUAUAAUGUUAUAAUAUGCUUAUAUUAUAAUUACUCUCUUUUAUAAUUUAAUAUACUUACAUUAAAGUGUAAUUGCAUAUUCCAGUAUGUAAUUCAUUUAUUCUUGUUAAAAUUAUAUUAGAAUUAUGUGCCCUAAUCUAUAUAUAUUAGGGAAACUCUGGGACUGAAAAACUUGUCCUAAUCAUCAGCAGCUGUAGGAAAAGUAGCUGUCAAUCUUUGCUUCUGACCAGGGAACAGGCUAAUGAAGGAGUCUAGUCUGUUGACCUGUGCAGUUGUCUUCUGAGAUGGCAGGAAAUCCCUCUUUUCUCUUCAACGGGGCAGAGCUGGGUAAUUAUAUGCCUGCUUUUGACAUACAGUGUGUGGAGACUCUGAACUAUGGGCUGGUGGUUAUUUCCAGAAGAGAGCCUCACGGUAUAGGGAGAGCUGCGUUGGUCUGAAUGGAUGAGCUGUGCCUGUUAAUAGAGCUGAUUUGACCAUCAUUUGGAAGUUAACGUCCCUUUGUUUAGGACUUUGGAAGUGACCUCAGGAGCAUUUUUUUUUGCCAAGUAAAAUACAUCCAUUUUAAUUGGAAGCCAAAAGGUCAUCCCUGGCAACCAUGGUUUUUUCACUGAUAUGAGUGACUGUCAUAGAUUGUUUUGACAGACUGUUAUUAACAAAGGGGGUUGGAAUGAUUUCUAGGAUAUUAUCACUCUCUAAAGUAGGGGAUACAUGCCAAGUCCAAGGGAGGAAGCAGUUUCUGCCUUACUGGUGAAAAUGAGCAAGACAAAGUGGCCACAGAAAUCUCACUUUCACAAAUGGAGAUGACUGAGGCAACAAAUCUUUCCACCUAGCCAUAAAGGAAAUCUGUGUCAGAAACUCAGAAAGCAGGUAGAUGAUGGUUUUAAAAAUAAAAAGGAGCAUAACGUUUUAUGGUAAGAUCA
ensembl:lncRNA